rnacentral:rRNA from 1 species
GAACUGAGGGGGGGCUGCUCCUAGUACGAGAGGACCGGAGUGGACGCAUCACUGGUGUUCGGGUUGUCAUGCCAAUGGCACUGCCCGGUAGCUAAAUGCGGAAGAGAUAAGUGCUGAAAGCAUCUAAGCACGAAACUUGCCCCGAGAUGAGUUCUCCCUGACUCUUUAAGGGUCCUGAAGGAACGUUGAAGACGACGACGUUAAUAGGCCGGGUGUGUAAGCGCAGCGAUGCGUUGAGCUAACCGGUACUAAUGAACCGUGAGGCUUAACCUUACAACGCCGAAGAUGUUUUG